UAGGGAAUCUUCGGCAAUGGACGAAAGUCUGACCGAGCAACGCCGCGUGAGUGAAGAAGGUUUUCGGAUCGUAAAACUCUGUUGUUAGAGAAGAACAAGGACGUUAGUAACUGAACGUCCCCUGACGGUAUCUAACCAGAAAGCCACGGCUAACUACGUGCCAGCAGCCGCGGUAAUACGUAGGUGGCAAGCGUUGUCCGGAUUUAUUGGGCGUAAAGCGAGCGCAGGCGGUUUCUUAAGUCUGAUGUGAAAGCCCCCGGCUCAACCGGGGAGGGUCAUUGGAAGCUGGGAGACUUGAGUGCAGAAGAAGAGAGUGGAAUUCCAUGUGUAGCGGUGAAAUGCGUAGAUAUAUGGAGGAACACCAGUGGCGAAGGCGGCUCUCUGGUCUGUAACUGACGCUGAGGCUCGAAAGCGUGGGGAGCAAACAGG
rnacentral:rRNA from 1 species